UACGGAGGGUGCAAGCGUUAUCCGGAUUCACUGGGUUUAAAGGGUGCGUAGGCGGGCUAAUAAGUCAGAGGUGAAAGCCCCAAGCUCAACUUGGGAACUGCCUUUGAUACUGCUAGUCUUGAAUGUGGUUGAAGUGGGCGGAAUACAUCAUGUAGCGGUGAAAUGCUUAGAUAUGAUGUAGAACACCGAUUGCGAAGGCAGCUCACUAAGCCACUAUUGACGCUGAGGCACGAAAGCGUGGGUAGCGAACAGG
rnacentral:rRNA from 1 species